CCUACGUGUGACAGCAGUGGGGAAUAUUGGGCAAUGGGCGAAAGCCUGACCCAGCAACGCCGCGUGAAGGAAGAAGGCUUUCGUGUUGUAAACUUCUUUUGACAGGGAAGAGCAGAAGACGGUACCUGUCGAAUACGCCACGGCUAAAAACGUGCCAGCAGCCGCGGUAAUACGUAGGUGGCAAGCGUUGUCCGGAGUUAAUGGGGUUAAAGGGCGUGUUGCCGGGCGGACCAGUCAGAUGUGAAAUCCGGGGGCUCAACCCCCGAACUGCAUUUGAAACUGUUGGUCUUGAGCAUAGGAGAGGCAGGCGGAAUGCCUAGUGUAGCGGUGAAAUGCGUAGAUAUCAGGAGGAACACCAGUGGCGAAGGCGGUCUGCUGGACGACAACUGACGGUGAGGCGCGAAAGCGUGGGGAGCAAACAGGAUUAGAUACCCCAGUAGUC
rnacentral:rRNA from 1 species